GGGGGUCAUCAGAUUCGAUUGAAACUUUGUGUGCUUAAACAACAUUAUGAAAGAAGUUCAUAUUAAAAAUAUUUCAUCUGGUUCCCAUGUCUUUCAGCUUGGAGAUGCUGUAAUGUACCGGGAACCAGUUUUCCCAUGUUUAAGGCAGUAUUUUUCUAUGAAAUUGACCAAUUUCAACACCCUGAAACUUAUAAAAGCGAAAAAUAACGAGCUAGAGAAUGAUGAUUUAUUGAAUAAUCAAGUGUUAAAGCUUUAGAAACUCAUC
rnacentral:lncRNA from 1 species